AGGGAAUCUCCCGCCUGAUUCAGCUCGGAUAUUGGCUUGAACCAAAGUGCGACACUAUUUAUAUGAACAUGGGGAUAAAGGGCAAACUGAACGAAUAAAGGGAUUCCUGGAGCCUUUUGGGGGUUAUUUACGUACGGCUUUCUAGACUCCCACCUUAUUUAAAAGAUCCCCCGGGGGGAAAGGAGCUUGUAGUACCCACUCGUGAGCCUGGCAAGUUUUAUUCACUACAUCAGAGUCCGCAGCAGUUCAAGCAAUUUCUCAUAAUUGGUGGGCUGGACAGAUACUUUCAAAUAGCAAGAUUCUAUAGGGAUGAGGGAUCAAAGCCAGACGGCAGCCGGAGGAAGAUGCGUCUCUUCUUUCUCACUUGCUGGAGGCCCUGGAAACGGGGGCACCCCCACAUUGAGGCAUUGCCUUAAGACUUGAUCAUCUCAUUGCAACUAUUGCUGGAACACCCAGCAUUCGUGAUGUCAUUGCCUUCUGAAAUCAUUCUGGGACGUGACUAUCAGCAAUGCACCCAACACAAUGUCUGGCGAGGAUCUCCAGCAAUAUCACAUUCAGGUGAUCCCUCCAUGUCCAGUGGAGAGUGACUGCAGCAUCAGUAACGUGACUUUUAUGAAUGUAAGGACCUGGCACAGCGGCUCAUUUAUCAACGCUGGGCAAAUUUGCCCAUGGGCAGUUACCUAUAGCAACCAAUCAGUGAUUAGCAUUUUCAAGCCAGCUGCAAGUAGACCAAUGAAAGCAGCAAUCUGAUUGGUUGCCAUGGGUUACUGUCCAUGGGCAAAUUUGCCCAGUGUUGAUAAAUGACCCUCAUAGAGUCAGUAAGAGUCUUACUGCUUCCAGACAUGGCUCCUUUCACUUCGUUUUUAUACUGAAGCACUUGUUAUUCCUCUGCAGAAACUUUGAGUGCUGCUUUAUGAACCAUUAGCCAAUAAAAAACAGACUAGAACAAUGCUGCCCAAUAAUUCCCAUAUAGUAAGAGAGUACCUCUAUACUUCAUACCUACUGGUAACUGAAUGAUGCAAUUUACUUUCUAUCAGCAAUUAGAAGUCAGGCUACUAGAAGUACAAUGAAAGCCAUUGAUAAGUGUAUGGGACAGUGUAGCACCUAUGUUGUUCUUUUUGAAAUAAAUUUUUUCUAGUUUUUAAAUAAUUAGCUAUUUUUUCACUGCUAACAUAAUGCAUUUGACAACUGUUCAUUUUAGCCUACUGUCUAUAGUUGAAAGAAAAAUAAGUCAGAAAAAGAACUUCCCGUGAUGUUGCCCUGCUAAGACAAUUAAAGAAACAUUAAUAUCAAAAAAUAAGGGACUCUGCCCGGUCUAACCGUAAUUUGCAUAUGCAAAUUAGGGGCGGGGAGGGAAACCACGUGACUGUCAGAAACAAGGAAGAGAAAAAUGUUUCCCCCUUCCCAUCCCUAAUUUGCAUAUGCGGUAUUCGGCAGGAUCUUUAGUGAAGGAUUCGGGGGUUCGGCAGAAUCCAAAAUAGUGGAUUCAGUGCAUCCCUA